rnacentral:lncRNA from 1 species
CUUUCUUCAAAAGUCCAGUCCAUUCUUACUCGAAUUAGACAAAACACCUGAGGGGCCAGCCCUGUGGUGCAGCGGUUAAGUGCACACGUUCCACUCUGGCGGCCCAGGGUUCGCCAGUUCAGAUCCUGGGUGCGGACAUGGCACUGCUUGGCAAGCCAUGCUGUGGUAGGCGUCCCACAUAUACAGUGGAGGAAGAUGGGCACAGAUGUUAGCUCAGGGCCAGUCUCCUCAGCAAAAAGAGGGGGAUUGGCAGCAGAUGUUAGCUCAGGGCUAAUCUUCCUCAAAAAGAAAAAGGAAAAAGAGAAAACACCUGAGAAGAAGUUCUAUGGGCACAAGUACUUUUUCCUGCCUCUGGGUAAGUUCACUGUGCAGGUUGUGAUGGCAGCAACAGUAGGAACCUCUGUCUUUUGUCUUGAGCUGGUCUGGCUCUCAGAGAGGAAUCCACAGAUCUCCUGCCAGAAGGGCUAGAAGCCUGGCCUCAAGCAUCCUGGGUACCCAGGGCCAGGACUCUCACUUUCAAUCCUUCUGUUUCCAGAGCAGCCUCUCCUGCCUGCCUCAGGCACGCCUGGUGUCGAGUCCCAAGUCUCGCUGUCUCACCCUUCCUUAACCUCCUGAGGUUCUGUUAGCUUAUCUUUUUGCAUACACAUGAGUUAACUUCGUAGACACCACAGUGCAGUAAUUAAGCACACAGUCUCUGGAGCCCAGACAACCUAUUGGAACCCUGGUUUCAUCACUUACUAGCUGCACCUCAGUACAUAGUUGUAUAGUCUAGUUGCAGGUCCCUCUGGCUGUGCUAUGUGGGACACCGCCUCAGCAUGGCCCAAUGAGCGGUGCCAUGUCCACAGCCAGGAUCCAAGGCAGCAAAACCCUGGGCCACCGAAAUGGAGCGUCUGAACUUAACCACUUGGACACAGGGCCAGCCCCACAUUAAUUUUUUUCAUUGAAGUUAGAAGCAAGAAAAAGUUUGCUGACCCCUGAGCUUCAGGAUGGGGGAAGUUUUAGAGAUUUUAGGAGAAAGAAAAAGUCUCUCCUUGCUAAGGUACAACAAAAAAGGAUAUUCAUAAACCAACGGAGGCAUUCACACAACACAACAGAUGUCUGAGAGAUCCACGCAGCCAUAUGUGUGAAGGUGGGGGACCCCUCCCCAGGAGGCAAAGGAAGAAGUACAAUCUGUGAUGUUCACAUGACGACGAAAUUGCCCAUCGAUGCAUUUCUCAGAAGCUCUCCCUGUUGGUGCGCAAUUCCUGUCAGCAAUGCUGAGAUCCAAAAGUCUGAAAAUCUGGUUUUUCCUUUUAUGACAAAAACUUGCCUGAACCAUGUAAAGCUUUCCCUAAUCAUAGAUACCUUAUCCCAGUUACUAUGAAUAUCUAAUUUAUUGCCGCAGAAAUAUUUUUUGGUGCUACCCCAGGCCCCAUUGAGG